rnacentral:tRNA from 1 species
AGUAGGAUGGCUGAGCUGUAAAGGUGAUAGAUUGUAAAUCUAUUAAGGGGGUGUACCCUUCUACUA